rnacentral:lncRNA from 1 species
UUUAUAUUAAAGUAUCUUUACUUUUACUCAAGUAGUGACAAUUUUCCCCACCACUUAUAAAUGGUAAACUGAUAGAUUUGAGAGAUUGUGGGGCCCCUUAUCUGUAACUCAAGUCUGUGGGGCCCUUAUCUCUAACUCACGUCUGUGGGGCCCUUUAUCUCUAAUCACGUCUGUGGGGCCUUAUCUCUAACAUCACCGUGGGGCCUUAUCUCUAACUCACGUCUGUGGGCCCUUAUCUCUAACUCACGUCUGUGGGGCCCUUAUCUCUAACUCACGUCUGUGGGGCCCCUUAUCUCUGUAACUCACUUCUGUGGGGCCCUUAUCUCUGUAACUCACGUCUGUGGGGCCCUUAUCUGCGAUGGAGACGCAGCUGAGUAUGAUGACAUCACAGUCUUUCUGUGGUGCGGUGCCCGACUCCCCAGAUGCAGCAGCUGGCGCGACGGCCGUACUGACGCUGGCGCACAAGCCUCUGGCCCGCACGGCACGUAUACCGUCAAGGCUUCCAGCUGGAAGUCUAAGAGGAGGGAGAGGGAGGGAGGAAGAGGAAAGAGAGGAGGAAGAGGAGGAGAAGGGGGAGGGGAGGAGAGGAAGAGGAGGAGAGAGGAGAGAGGAGGAGGAGAGUGAGGAGGGGAGGAAGAGAGAGGAAGGGAUAAAAAACUAACUGUUUUUAAUUAAC